GCUUGUCUCAAAGAUUAAGCCAUGCAUGUCUAAGCAUGAGCCGAAUUAUGGUGAAGCCGCGAAUGGCUCAUUACAACAGCCGUUGUUUCUUGGAUCUUGAUUUACUUGGAUAACUGUGGUAAUUCUAGAGCUAAUACAUGCAACCAAGCUCUGACCUUGCGGAAGGAGCGCAUUUAUUAGAACAAGACCAAUCAGGCUUUGCCUGCAAUCUGGUGACUCUGAAUAACUUUGCUGAUCACACGGUCCUAGCACCGGUGACAUAUCUUUCAAGUGUCUGCCCUAUCAACUUUCGAUGGUAGUUUAUGUGCCUACCAUGGUGGUAACGGGUAACGGAGAAUAAGGGUUCGACUCCGGAGAGGGAGCCUGAGAAAUGGCUACCACAUCCAAGGAAGGCAGCAGG
rnacentral:rRNA from 1 species